AGUGAACGCUGGCGGUAGGCCUAACACAUGCAAGUCGAACGGCAGCACAGUAAGAGCUUGCUCUUACGGGUGGCGAGUGGCGGACGGGUGAGGAAUACAUCGGAAUCUACUUUUUCGUGGGGGAUAACGUAGGGAAACUUACGCUAAUACCGCAUACGACCUACGGGUGAAAGCAGGGGAUCUUCGGACCUUGCGCGAUUGAAUGAGCCGAUGUCGGAUUAGCUAGUUGGCGGGGUAAAGGCCCACCAAGGCGACGAUCCGUAGCUGGUCUGAGAGGAUGAUCAGCCACACUGGAACUGAGACACGGUCCAGACUCCUACGGGAGGCAGCAGUGGGGAAUGUUGGACAAUGGGCGCAAGCCUGAUCCAGCCAUACCGCGUGGGUGAAGAAGGCCUUCGGGUUGUAAAGCCCUUUUGUUGGGAAAGAAAAGCAGCAGGUUAAUACCCCGCUGUUCUGACGGUACCCAAAGAAUAAGCACCGGCUAACUUCGU
rnacentral:rRNA from 1 species